rnacentral:rRNA from 1 species
UACGUAGGGGGCAAGCGUUGUCCGGAAUCAUUGGGCGUAAAGCGCGUGUAGGCGGCUGACUAAGUCCGCUCUGAAAGCCCGGGGCUCAACCCCGGGAGGCGGGUGGAUACUGGUCAGCUCGAGUCCGGAAGAGGCGAGUGGAAUUCCUGGUGUAGCGGUGAAAUGCGCAGAUAUCAGGAGGAACACCAAUGGCGAAGGCAGCUCGCUGGGACGGUACUGACGCUGAGACGCGAAAGCGUGGGGAGCAAACAGG